GGGAGGCAGAGGGCUAAGUCUGUGGCCCUGCCAGGAAUGCCAGCAAGUCCGAGUCGGGAGGACGUGUAGGGAUUCUGUUUUUCAGGGGCCUUGGAAAAGCAUCCCAUGAUGGCUCACACAUUCUGACGCCGCAGCAUGCUUGAGGAGCGGUGACUUAGGGGUUGGUGACAAAAGGCAGAACCUAAGAAACAAAGGACACGGACUUGUGUUUUUCAGAAGAGGUUGCACCCGUGAAACUUGCUUAGACUCUGAGGAGGCGGGUGGCCUGAGGUGAGCAAAGGCCGAAGCAGGAGAGGCUGGUUUCAAUAACAUCAAGAUGCAGGAGAGAUCAAGCGUUCUGGAUUCAGCAGGAAGUCAAAGCCGCGAAGACCAAUGUCAUCACUUCAGUCACACGGGAAGAGGACAGGGAGAUAAAGUUGACGGCAAGGAGACUGUCACUAUGUUGUAGCGAUAUCGGAGGGCCAACCUAUGUACUCACAACAGAGAGAGGAGAGACAGAAGAGGAAAUGAAGUAAACUCAUAAGACCUCUUUGAUUUAGUACAAGCUUGUGUGAAAAAAAUCCCAAACACUCA